rnacentral:rRNA from 1 species
AUUGAACGCUGGCGGCAUGCUUUACACAUGCAAGUCGAACGGCAGCGCGGGCUUCGGCCUGGCGGCGAGUGGCGAACGGGUGAGUAAUACAUCGGAACGUGCCCAGUAGUGGGGGAUAGCUCGGCGAAAGCCGGAUUAAUACCGCAUACGACCUGAGGGUGAAAGCGGGGGAUCUUCGGACCUCGCGCUAUUGGAGCGGCCGGUGGCAGAUUAGCUAGUUGGUGGGGUAAAGGCCUACCAAGGCGACGAUCUGUAGCUGGUCUGAGAGGACGACCAGCUACACUGGGACUGAGACACGGCCCAGACUCCUACGGGAGGCAGCAGUGGGGAAUUUUGGACAAUGGGCGAAAGCCUGAUCCAGCAAUGCCGCGUGUGUGAUGAAGGCCUUCGGGUUGUAAAGCACUUUUGGCGGGAACGAAAAGGACUGUGCCAAUACCACGGUUCGAUGACGGUACCCGCAGAAUAAGCACCGGCUAACUACGUG